AGUUACAGGAGCAGCUGAGAAGGGAGGCAGAGGCCCUGGAGACUGAGACAAAGCUCUUUGAGGACUUGGAGUUCCAGCAGUUGGAGCGGGAGAGCCGCGUGGAGGAGGAGCGCGAGCUGGCCGGCCAGGGGCUGCUCCGGAGCAAGGCUGAGCUGCUCCGCAGCAUCGCCAAGAGGAAGGAGCGCCUGGCCAUCCUGGACAGUCAGGCUGGGCAGAUCCGGGCUCAGGCCGUGCAGGAAUCAGAACGCCUGGCCCGGGACAAGAAUGCCUCCUUACAGCUGCUGCAAAAGGAGAUGGAGAAGAUGCUGAAAGAGGCUCACGCAGAGAAGAACCGGCUCAUGGAGUCGAGGGAGCGGGAGAUGGAGCUGCGGCGGCAGGCCCUGGAGGAGGAGCGGCGGAGGCGUGAGCAGGUAGAACGGAGGCUGCAGAGUGAGAGUGCCCGGAGGCAGCAGCUGGUCGAGAAGGAGGUCAAGAUGCGGGAGAAACAGUUUUCCCAGGCACGACCCCUGACCCGCUACCUGCCAAUCCGGAAGGAGGACUUUGACCUG
rnacentral:sRNA from 1 species